rnacentral:sRNA from 1 species
GUGGGAAGACAUGACACAUCA